rnacentral:pre_miRNA from 1 species
GACGAAUAGGACAUUUAUAUCCUAAAAUAUAAAUACUGGAUGUCAUGUGCUGUUCGGAUC